rnacentral:lncRNA from 1 species
GUUGUACAGUGGAGAGAUGUCCCCUAUCAUGUGCCUGGAACAGCCACUACCAACGAACCGAAGUCUGAUGAUAAGCCUCCAUNCUAUCAUGUGCCUGGAACAGCCACUACCAACAAACUGAAGUCUGAUGAUAAGCCUCCAUGGCUGCUCCGACACAGAGCAGGAUCAGUUGGUCUUUGGAACCCAGUCCAUUUUGAAACUGGGUCGACCUUUGUCAUCAACGCAAGCUACUUUCUCUCAUGACAUAUCCUGUUUAUCACAAACAGAAGAUGAAGAAAUAUUAGAAUCGUUAGAAGAUUUAGGAGAGUGAGCCUUUGGAACCCAUUUGUAGUUGUGUUUAACCCAUUUCUUUUUCGAUCCG